CAUAAAUACAAUCUGCUCCAUCUGUUCAGUUACUUACAUGUAUGUUUUCAUUGGUAUAGAAUGACCAAUCAAUGUGCACUUCCCUGGGGAAGACUGUUUCUCCCUCUCUCAGCAUUCCUGGUUUGCCUGUGGUUCUUAUUCUAGGGUAGAGGCCUCCUGAGCUAUCUCAUGUUCACAUUAGCCUGUCUAUUGGUGCUAUCCUUGUUCAGAUAUACAUAUAAUUAAUGCCAUAGAGGUACUGGGUUUUGUCAGUUAAACAAGGCAAUAGUGUCACCUCCACUUUAGAAGACUGUUUUCAGGUUGUUAGGCAAGAAUACCUAGGAAGAAGGAUGGUGUAAACACUGUUUGCGGAAGUUUAGAAUAAAGGUUAUUAUCCCUGUAUUGUAUUUGUGUGACUUGUUCUUACUAGUAUUCCAGUAAUUAGACUGUGUACUGAAUUUUUAUACAGAUACCCACUUAUAAAAGUUCAUGUAUAAUGACAUGUAUGGAUACAUGCUUACACACAUAUAAAAUCCAUCUUUACCAACCCAUGUUUUACCUUUGAGACUGUGUUCUACAGAUGGGCACUCAUUAGCUAAAGUAUCCAGUGCUCAAUAUUUUAACCUUUUAAACAUCCAUCCCAUUCUAAGUCUUGUAAUUUUUCAGGCUCAAAAAGAGGGGCCACCUUGAGCGUAACUAGUAUCCAAAGUCACACACCCAGUAGUGGCAGAACUCUGGUAUUUUGGAUGGCUUAAUACCCCUUUACAAUAUCAAGUCAAUAGUCCCCUGUUUAACUACUUGUCUGAACAGGUACAUACUUAGUUGCAGAUACUUGGAUAUGUUUUUCAGACAGAGUCUUACUCACUAUGUAGCUCUAGAAUUCACCAUGUAGACCAGAGUAGCCUUUACCACACAGAGAUUUACUUGCCUCUGCCUCCCAAAUGCUGAAUGAGAUUAAAGGCAUGUGCCACCACACUCAGCAAAUAUUUUCUUUUUAAAUAAGUAUAUAUGUAUGUGUGUUUAAAUACAUAUUUAAAUUAUGUGUUUGUGUGUAUACCUGCAUAAGUUUAUGUAUACUAUCUGUGUGCAGGUACCUCAGAGGCCAGAGGAGGCUAUCAAGAUCCCUUGUAACUGGAGUUCCACGUCCUGAACGGCCCCAUCGUCAACAUGGCAGACGAUGAUCCAUAUGGACCUGCGCAGGGGGAAGAAGAAUGCCAAAGUCAAGGUGCUGGCCGGUGUGUUCCUAGCAGCUGUUAUCUCUUGCCUUUUGAGCUUCUAAAGACGGCCUGUCCUCCCCAGAUGAGUCUGCUCAGCACGCCAGACUCCACAGUCCUGCUUCACUGUGAUUUCCAACUCUAAGUAGCACACCAGGAUAACCCUGUCAUUUAGUAGUCUUCCUUCCAUCAGUGCCACGUGCACUCUAUCUUUUGCUACGGAAAGCGUAGGUUCUGGGAAGUAGGUUCCAGGGAGUCACAUGCAAACACCUUUGGAGCCACUGUUCAUUGUACAGCCCUCUAUUAAAUUCCAGGUGUUUUGUACUGUAGUAGACAAGUCAGGUGGAGAAGGGGAAAUGUGAGCUCUGUACUCCAUCAUUUGCUCAGUUGUAUUGUCAGUUUUUAUGUUAGUUGUGUAGCUACUGUGUGUGUGUGUGUGUGUGUGUGUGUGUGUGUCUGUGUGUGUGUCUGUGUGUGUGUGUGUGUGUGUGUGUCUGUGUGUGUGUGUGUGUGUGUGUGUG